rnacentral:rRNA from 1 species
CUAGAGAGUCCGUCAAAAGUGUAACAAGUCAAGCCCGAUCCUGUCUGAUCUCGAAAGCUAAGCAGGGUUGGGCCUGGUUAGUACUUGGAUGGGAGACCGCCUAGGAAGACCAGGUGCUGUAUGCG